rnacentral:ncRNA from 2 species
CCCGACGGGUGGGGGCGGCCCGAGAGAGGCCUGAGAAAGAACCCCUGGAACUUGAUCCGAGUAAUGUCGGCGGAAGGAACCCGUUGCCUGCCUUC